UAAAAAGUUUAAAAGAUACUAGUUUUAAAACAUUUAUUUUAUAAGUCAGCGCUCCUAAAACAAAACUCUAUCAAGCUGAGAAGACCCUCAAACCAUAAAGGAACAACUCUUGAAAACAGUCGUGUCUUUGGCUUCAGCACUGUCCUUCCACUCCAGGGUACCUUCUCGUAUGGUCACCGAUUUGCACACACGAGAGUGUCAGUCGCUUCAAAUCAGUGUGACACAGAGAGACUGAAGUGCCGAGCCCAGACUUGUGUGUUCAGCUAUUUUAUCCUCAGCAGGACUGACAUGAUAUCUGUGUGAUACCAAACAGCCAAACAUGUGGGAAAAGUUGCACUGUGAGCGUAAGAUGAUGGCAGUGGUUAUUUUAAUGAGAAUUUUCCCAGCCGGAAUAGCAGACAGCUAUGUCACCUCGUGUCACAUUGAAAGGGAUUUAUAAGCUCAGUGAGAAGAGCUCCCGGACAACGGCUUUCCCCAACACCUGGAAAUUAUCAAGCUUGCUGCUUGCUGGAUGACGCUAACGGUUCCAGCGCUGCAAAUUCAUUUUUAACAACUCACUGGCUUUUAUCUAG